AUGUAUUAAUCUGGCUGCUGUAUGAAGAAUGGACUUGAAGGAGUAAACAGAAGGCAGAGUGGCCAGUUGGGAGAGAUAAUGAGAGUCUGGACUAAGGGGACAGCGAUGGGGACAGAUUCGUAAAAUUGGCAGGAUUUGCUGUGGAGAAAGAGCUACUGGACAGAGAGAAGAGGGGAUGACUGAAUAAGGACCAUGAAGUAGCAGGAAAGGAUGGGCUCAAAA